UGUAGGCUGUAGAUAUGCAUCCGUUUCCAUUUUCUGACAGCCAGGGGGCCCAGUUGCUCAUCCCACUUUUUUAUGCUAGCAUGUCUCCUAAUUUCUUGUUAAUGUUGUCUACUUGUUUUGGUUCUCACGUCUGGAACUUGGAAGUUCAGAGAUGCCUCCAAACAACCAGAAGAACUUUCUAAAGCAACCUUGCCCUCCAAUGGAUAUCCAGCCCAGCUUCAGCUGUUGGAUGAGGACACGCCGGAUGAUGGCGACUCAGGUGACGUUUUCCCUUACCACAAAUAAACUUUGCCGGCGUUUACAGGGGGCUGUCACGCUUAACAGUGACCAAUCACGUCCAUUUGGCCUCAUCAUCUUCUUUCGCACUAGUAAACCUUAAAGCUCUCGGCACCACCGUUAAUGCCGACUAGGUAGCGGUGGAUGCUGGGUGGAUGACCGGCCGGCGAUGAGGCAUCGCUUUCGCCACCAGGCAAGAUGCACGGUCACCAACUCAAAUCCCACCGUAAAUUCACGGGUAUGUUUUCUUUUUUCCUCUUCUAUUGAAAAUUCAAAUGAGCACGCCUAGUCUGAGAAAAUGUUAUGUGUGGCAGCGAUAAGUUCUUUUUCUUUUUGGAAUUUUAUUUUGUUGAACA